rnacentral:lncRNA from 1 species
UGAACGGUGUUGGUUGAUUUGCACAAGUACUGCUAGUUUUAUUUGAGAUAUUUAAAGACUUCUCACCUUAUUAAAUCAAAAGCUGCCUUAGUUGAGUGGGAUAUUUAGUUGUUGGCUGAGACUUUAAUUGUCUUGAUGAUUUUUGUGUCUGCUUGUGGAAUCUUUAGAUUUUACCAGCAGCAAGGAGUUUGAAUCAUACACUUAUAAUUGCAAUCAAUUUUAUUUUUACCUCCUCUGAUGUUUAUUAAUCAUGAGGUCAUUGUCUGAUUAAAUCAUUCUUUGUAAAUUUGGCUAAUAACGCAUCAAGAUCUUGAUGAUCUUUUCAUCCACUUGUGGUCAUUUCUAGAUUUUAGUUCACAUGAGUGUGAUUUUAGUUCACUUGUCUUCAUGAUCAAGUAUUUUCUUUAUGGAGGCAAAAUUACAUAAUUUCAUUGUGUGAAAUGAUCACUUUGUUAUAAUAUUUGAUAGCAUACCAACAUGGUGCAUGGGGCCAAUUUUGGGAACUACUACUUCUCCAUAAUCAUGGAAGCAAUUCUUUCUAAGUUUUAUAUAUCCUACAUCUACCAGAAAUGUGGCUUUAAAUGGUAGGGAGAUUUAACAGAAUCAUGAUCUUCCUUUUCGAUGGAAAUUACAUUUAUUUCUGGACAUGACAGAGUAAUGGUUUUCAUGUCUUCUUCCUUCCAGUUUGCGAGUGACAUAUCUGCUUAUUGCUUCUUACAUACAUUUCACACACUACUUUCUUCCCAUAUUUUAACUCAGGAUCAGUGGUGAUCUAUCUAUCUUUUUUAAAUACUUGAUUAGUUUUACCAGAAUUAAGCAGAGCCAUGGCAUAGGGCUUACUAGGUUACUUCUUCCAUUUGUCCUAUAUAUUCUAUUAUGUUCUAGCAUGUACAAGGUAAUGGGUUGUCAUGAUCUUUAAUUAUGACUGUCUAUUUUAUGAACAUAUAUAGUUUGGAUUUCUGAUUCAGAAUUUCAUGGCUAGCUGCUCACUGGAAUGACAAAAUGAUCUCUUGGGGGUGAAAAAGAUGGGCUCCUCUUAAUUUAAAAAAAAUGUAUGCUCAUUACAUACAUACUACACGUCCUCAACUACGUACCAUGUAUUCAUGGGUGUAUAUAUGCGGCUAUUAGCAUUCUUGUGUUCAUAUCUAUAUAUAACUCAUUACUUUUUGAGGAAAUUCACACUUUGGUGUUGUUCUGCCCAAAAGAUGGUGAUUGUUAUUGAGAUAACAAUCACUAAAGUUGUAGUAGCAUCGUUACAUGUUAACCACAUAUUAAUUGUACAAAUUUCUUUAGAAAUAAUGGAACCAAAAAAAUUCAACUUCAAACUAAAUUAAUUUUCACCUUAGUGAUCCAUUGUCACUAUCAUUCUUUAAUGUAAACCAUUGCUUUCAUAUAUAUAUAUAUAUAUAUAUAUAUAUAUAUAUAUAUAUAUAAAGUCAUGCAUUUAAACCUAUCAACGCUACUUUACUUGACAAAUUAUCCACUAAUAUCACUAAUACUUCAUCUUUAGGUCAUAUAGAUUUUUACCUAACCAGUCUCAUAGUUUGAAAAUGAACUAUUUCUGUUAAAUAAGUUUACCAAGUGAUGGACAUCACAGAAAUUUAUGUCAAACUUUUCCAUGUAACUCAGGAUAAGUAUGAUAUUCUCAACAUUUUGAUAAUUAGUUAAUUUUAACACAAAUAAGCAGUG